GCAGCAACGGAAAGGCGCCACGCUCGUGAGCGGAACCAGCGUUCCGGGGGCGCUCAGUGUGGGCAGGCAGGAAGCCUGGCUCCACUAGGACACACAGAUUCUCUCCUGAGCAGCUGCGAACUAUGCGCCCCUUCUACCCUUAAGAGAUGGGAUGGGAGUCCAACAAACCCAGCCAUUGCUCAGACCCCAGCCCUUCUCUCCUCUAAGAAGCAGGUUCACCUCUGCCACCGCACUCGCAUUUUUUUUUUUUUUUAAAGCCCGGCCUUUCCUAGGCGGGGUCAAGGGCCCCGCCCACCGAAGCCACGCCCAGUAGCCGCCCCGGGGCGGGGUUCCCCUCGGCUCCCGGCUGCCCUUUCCCCUCCGGCCUCUGCCGGUGCUGCUGCGCCCUGCGGAGCUCCGAACACGUGCGCAGAGGCUGGCUGUGGCAGAUGCAACUGCAGGAUGACUUGAAAGUAGGGCAUCCUUCACCCAUCUGAAGGGAGGAAAUAGUGGCAGGUGACAGUCUGCAUGUGCAGUUUUCAGAUGCCUUCACCUGAAUGACAUCUACCUCCAUCAGGACCCCAGAUGUCUGACAGCCCUGUGUGACACCAAGAUAAGUAACGUAUGUAGUCUUCUUGUCAUGUAGGUCCCAAUUAAAUUACUAUAGCUCAGAUGGGGGUAGGGGACUUAAAAUUAUGAUGUGAAAAAUUAUGUAGAGUAUCAGACUUUUUUUUGGGGGGGGACGGAGUCUUGCUCAGUUGCCCAGGCUAGAGUACAGUGGCUCGAUCUCGGCUCACUGCAACCUCUGCCUCCUGGGUUCAAGCGAUUCUCCUGCCUCAGCCUCCCGAGUAGCUGGGACUACAGGCACCUGCCACCAUGCCAGGCUAAUUUUUUUAUUUUAAGUAGAGACGAGGUUUCACCAUAUUGGCCAGGCUGGUCUGAAACUCCUGACCUUGCGAUUUGCCUGCCUUGGCCUCCCAAAAUGCUGGGAUUACAGGUUUUUUUGUUUGUUUUUUGAGACGGAGUCUCACUGUCUCCCAGGCUGGAGUGCAAUGGCGCAAUCUCGGCUCACUACAACCUCUACCUCCUGGGUUCAAGCGAUUCUCCUGCCUCGGCCUCCU
rnacentral:lncRNA from 1 species